CUUUGGUUUUUGUUUCAAUCAUUACCACUGCCCUUCUUCAGUUGAAACCCCCACUAUCGGCAUCUUCUUCUCCAACACCAGCCUCCAAGAUCUCUCUAACAAUUAUGCUUCUUCAAUCGUUUCUCCGCCGUCAACCACCAUCUUCACCCCUUGAGUCUUCUCCAGUUUCCUCUCUUUCUGCUUCUCCAACAAUGGUUCGCUUCAUCUCUUAUGAAUCCUCCAAGUGUUGCGGGUUUGAACAGGCACUCACUCUCGCUAGCGAUUGGAAAUGCUCUGUUUUCUCUUAUUGUUCAUCACGACCUCAAAUCCCUUAGUAAUUCCAUCGAACAACUUCAAGACCAACCCACCAACACCAUGUUCUGGACUUUAUAAUCCCCCUGUGUGCUUUGAAACCAUUGCUGGAGAAACAGAAGAAGAGGAAGUUGGAGAAGAUUUAAGGGGUGAAGAUGGUGGUUGACGGCGGAGAAACAGUUGGAGAAGCAUAGUUGUUAGAGAGAUCUUGGAGGCUGGUGCCAGAGGUCGGUUCGGAGAAGAAGAUGCCAACGGUGGUGGUUUCAACUGAUGUAGGACGAUGAUGAUGAUGAUGAAACAAAGAAGCCAAAGCUACGUGUUUAAAUUUUAUUGGUUUUGGUUAAAAAAUAAAAGCUGACAUGGAAAUUAAAAUAUUCAUUUAAUUUAAGAAAAAUCCAUUAAGAUUUCCAUUUUAACAA